ensembl:lncRNA
GCCAGGCCCUGGAUGCCCAGGCACUGUGGUGCCACUCUGCUCCAUUCUCCUCUGCCCCGGUGACGCAUGUACACACCAGGUGCCAGGGAUGGAGGGGAGCAUGGCCUUUCUUCUCAGAGUCUCUGAUGGGGUGGGCUCCCCUCCCACCAGUGCUCACUUAUCGAGGAGGGUACCCCAACAGAGCAGAUGCAGAUGUUGGAUGCCUGAAUGUGUUAAUUUUUAAAUCACCCCCCGAGGGAGAGGCUGGAGAUGUGGAACCUCCCUAGAGAUAAAUGGGUCAGAUGUCCUCUCCUUUCUAGGACCUGGAACGUUGUGACCAAAUGGAGGGUUCAGAGAGGUCAAGCGACUUGCCCAGGAUUUUUAUGCUAGAGUUGGGUUAGAUUUUAACCCAUUUGUACUGGACUCCCAAACCCAGGCCUUUAACUACUUACUAAUUCACUUCUUAUCCAGAUGUAUCUUUCCUGCAACACCCAUGGCAGCAUUUAAGAAUCCUUCCUCAGUCUCCAGGCUGAAAGAUGCUGGUACUUUCUGUUCUAAGAUGGUGUGGUAGAAGUCAGUGCUGCUGCCCUGACAUAGAUUACAAUGUAAUCUGCUUUGCAGCAGUAGGAAGUUCCCCAGUGUUGGUAUAGAUGCUUUUGGACACAUGGUUGUAUAUACAGAUGCCUGUGUGCAAGGGAUCCCAGUCCAAAGAUAUCCUACCGAAUUGAGAAGGACCAUUUCUGCCCUUCAGCAUGUACUUUAGGGGGAAGAGAAGGAUAUGGAACAAUAUAUAAACACCUUGCUUAGUUCAUAAAAAUAUGGCAAAGGGAAAACUUUGGAGGGUAAAAAAUGUUGGAAGUCCAUCUUGUAAAAGAAGAAAAUCAUUUGUGCUCACCCUUCCCCCAGUGCUCCACGGGGGUGAAGAGAGUGGGUGCCAGGAAAUAGGCGAGCCAGCCACGGACAGGCCAGGGCACAGGCCAGUGGGAGCACUCAGGGUGUGUCCUCCCUGAAGUAGCCUUUUCCAAUCUGCUUAUCUGCCCUUGUUUCAUUCUCUUUUCUAUGACGGUUUUUUUUCCCCCAGUGGAUAAAACACUGGUUUAUUGUAAUCCAUUAACGGCGGGUAAUUCCGUAAUUCCCAUCUUCGUAUGUUCUCUUCUGCUCAUCAAGUGCUGCACUGGCCAGCCCUACAUUUGAGCUGUGGAGUUUGGAGAGCCGUGUAGACAAUGGACGCUGCUCCCGGGUGUGUGGCCGCCAGUGGGCACAUCGCUCAUAGUUCUGGUUGCCCCAUGCACUUGGUCAGAUCAGCCAGGUGUCCGUCGGGGAUGUGUGAUCCCAAGAGCUGGAGCCUGGUCUUCGUGUAUAGUUUUAUAUCUCAGGUGCCUUUUUAAAAAGCUGGACACUUUCAUCAGAGUACAUAAAACAAUGUGAACAUGUUAUCAUCGCCCAGACCAAGAAAGCAACAUUUUAGAAGCUCUCCUGUGCUCUUCCCAGUCACGACCCUGUCCCUUCCCACAGGGUGGCCUCCUUGUCCUAGUCACUUCCCUGCGGCCUGGGUUUGCCGUUGCACACUGCGCCAGGUCCUCUCUCCCACUCCAUGUCUCUAACUGUGUAUCGCUGGGGGCCUCAGGAGAGCCAGGGCUCUGAUGUGCGGACUCCAGGUGGCUGCAGUCUUGGGUGCCAGAGUGUUGCGUUCCUUUUGUGCUUUAAUGUCACAUAGGACACAGGUUAUUGUGCUUGGCUGGAGGCCUAAUGUGGCCCAAGGCCCUGAGUGAUGCUUGCUUUUUUUUUUCAGUCUGAGCUUCUCCAGCCCCUGUAACACUUCCCCUGGUGAGGUGCCGGGUCUGGGAGCCAUCAUCCGUGUGCUUCUGGCAUGGAGAGGUAGAUUGUCAGCACCUUUGUUCCAAGGGAUGCACAGGUGUAAUCAGAAACCCUGCACCUGUGGAUUCCUGUAACUUAAACCCCAGUCACUAAGGGACUGAUUGCAUAGUAGACAAGUUCCAUAAAAAGAGUUUCUUAUAUAAGAGGAUUUAACAUGGUUUUCGGUAUCGUGGUAUUUUAGCAAGGUUCAUUUUAACUGUGGUGUAAUACAUUCCUUUAGUUGAAUUACCAGCCUCUUGGCAUUAUUUUUUUCCCAGUAGUCACAAGACUGCUUGGCCUGUGUAUACAGGAUGCCCUUCCUGUAGGCACCAUCUGUGAGUGUGGAAAUGCGAGGCUCCCAUCAGGCCGGAGAAUGUUGGGUUCAGAAGCAGUGAUCAUCAGCCCGUCAUCAGGCCCAGGUGGUCCACUGCACCCCUCCACACAUUUGUAAGUGCCCCAGAGUGCUCAGUAGGAAGUUCCCGAGUGAAGCUACUGCUCUGACGUUUUCAAGGCAAUUGUUCAGUGCUAGGAAUGAUUUGCCGAGGCUGCCAGGAAUUCUGUUGCUGGUUUGUUUUUUUUUUUUUUUUUUGACAGCACAGGCUAGAGCUCACCCAGUGAGGGCCACAGAUCAGUGCUCAGAUCAGGGGAGGGAAGUGUGUUUUGAAGGUGGAUUUGGGAAUCAGGGGCAGAUGCACAGGGAAAGGGGAAAUCAGAGAAAACCCUUCUGUUCAUCAACAGUAUGGACACAAAGUUUAGGCUAUGAUUUAAAAGAGAUGUGACUUUGAGCAGUAGUUAU